GCUGUUGGUGUCUUCCUCAUGAAAUCUUUGCCUGUUCCUAUGUAUGGAAUGGGUUUUCUAUUUAUUUCUGGGUUCUCUAUUCUGUUCCAUUUGUCUCUGUGUCUGUUUUUGUACCAGUACCAUGCUAUUUUGGUUACCGUAGUAUAGUUUGAAGUCACGUAUUGUGAUGCCUCCAGCUUUGUUCCUUUUGCUUAGGAUUGCUUUGGUUAUUUGGGCUAUUUUUUGGUUUAAUAUGAAUUUUUAAAUAGUUUUUUUCUAGUUCUGCGAAAAAUGAUAGGAACAGCAUUGAAUCUGUAUAUUGUUUUGGGCAGUAUGGCCAUUUUAACAAUAUUGGUUCUUCCUAUCCAUGAGCAUGGAAUGUUUUUCCAAUUGUUUGUGUCAUCUCUGAUUUCUUUGAGCAAGGUUUUGUAGCUCUCCUUGUAGAGAUCUUUCACCUUCCCGGUUAGCUGUAUUCUUAUGUAUUUUAUUUUUGUGGUGGGAAUUGUGAAUGGGAUUGCAUUCCUGAUUUGACUCUUGGCUUGACUUCUGUCAGCAUUUGCUUGUCUGAAAAGGAUUUUAUUUCUCCUUCACUUAUGAAGUGUAGUUGGGCCAGAUAUGAAAUUCUGAGUUGGAAUUUCUUUUCUUCAAGAAUGUAAUGUUGGCCUCCAAUCUCUUCUGGCUUGUAGGGUUUUUGCUGAGAGGAUCGCUGUUAGGCUGAUAGGAUUCCCUUUGUAGGUGACCUGAUUGCAGGUCUUUGAUGAAAUUCUCCAUUUUGUCAUCUUUUUUAAGGAUGAUUAUCCUUUUUUAAGGAUGAUUAUAAAAUAACCACAAUUAUUUUAUAGCCUGUGUCUGAUAACACCAAUAUCUCAAUCUUCUCUAAGUCUAAUCUGUUUCUGUUUUUUACUUUUUAUUUUCUGUCACUUGGUUCUAUUUAUUGACAUUACCUAGAGAUUUUUACUCAGAUGCUAGACAUUGUAUAUGAAAAAUUAUAGAAGCUCUGUGUGAUGUUUUCCUUCUUCAAAGACAAUUUAAUUUUCUUCUGGCAGACAGAGUAGGGGCAGAUCACCCUAAUCCAAUUAGGUAAUUUGAUACUUUGAGGCUGGGUUUUAGGUUUUUUGAGGCUAGUUUAUUUCUGCUUUGCCCUUACUCCUAUCUGCAGUCUGUCAGAAGUCUCAGCUGAAAGUGUGGAGGUAUUUUUCAAAGCUUCAACUCUUUGCUAGACUGACCUCC
rnacentral:lncRNA from 10 species